GGGUCUGUAGUACCAUACAGUGACCUAUCGUAUUGUGGCCCUUUCUAAAUCCUGCCUGUUCCUGGUUGAACAGGUUAGAAUGGUCCGCCCAAUCUACCAGCUUGUUUAAUAGGUACCGGGUAUAAAGUUUGUAUGCGAUGUCCAGAAGGCUUAUAGGGCGGUAGUUUGCUGGAUCUUGAAUGUCUCCCUUCUUAUAGAUAGGGACUACCACACUUAGUUUCCAAUUUGCUGGGAUUUUACAUGUGUUGUUCAUUGCCGUAAAAAGUUUGGCCAAAAAGAUGGCCCACCAUUGGGCAUUUAAUUUAAAAACCUCAGGGGGGAUCAUGUCCUCGCCAGGAGCUUUGCCAUUUUUUAAAGUUUUAAUUAGCUGUAGGCACUCUGAUUCCGUAACAGGAUCCCAACUAACUAGAUGCUCAUUCUUCAAUGGGAGGAGCGGACUCAAAUUAGCAGUAUUUGAGAGUGUGUAUAGCUUGAGAAAGUGUUGAUACCACACAUCGGAUGGAAUACUGCUGUUUACAAUUUUUCCUUUGGAUGAGACUCCCUGUGCUACUAUUGCCCAGAAUUUUCUAUCGUCUCGCGAUUUAAUCGCCUUAUCAAGUGCCUCCCAUUGUUUCUUCCUGUAAAGGGAUUUCUUGAGUUUUAAGGUGUAUUUAUAGUGAGAGCGCCAUCUGUGGAAAUUUACCAUAGAUGACAAAGUCCUCUCCUGUUUUACCUUAUUUUGUUGUUUCCUAAGCAGGGAUCUUAGCUUCCGGCAGUCUUUGUCAAACCAGGCCCCGAUUUGUUAUGUUGUAUGGGAGGCCUGGUGUUUAUAAGAAAUGGGAAAAGGGACUCUGAGACCCGCUGAUAUAGUGAAAAAGGAUCAAAGUUAGGUAAAGGACACUGGUCUCUCAGAACCAAUAGAUCUGGAGAGUGCAGGUGUUGAUUAAUUUUAAGCUCCAGCUCGCUGUUCCAUUUACGCCUGCGUGGGGCCGGUGCUUGAGGAGGGGCUGCACAAUGUAGAUGUUGUAAUCCCCCUGAUUCAAGGGGAGUUAGUGAGAUUGCUCUAGGAAGAUGGUCGCUCUCAAUUCUAUUAAAAGUGCUGAGACCCUGUACCCUCUCCAAAAUUGUUGGAGAGACCAGGAUAUGGUCAAUCACACUUGCACCACGAGGGCCGAUAAAAGAGAAGAAACCUCCUGACCUGUCCAUGUAAGUACCAUGCAGGUUGUACAGAUUAUGCUUAAAAGCAAUCUCCAGUAAUGUAAUACCUGCCUUGUUCAAGACCUUUUCAUCAGAACUCCAAGGGAUAAGCCAGUCUGCCUCUGGUAGAAACUGGGUUUUGGAGCUAUACGAAUUGAUGUCGCUGCCUAUCCUGGCAUUAAAGUCACCUGCCAGCAGGAUGUUCCAGUCAGGGAAUUCUAUUUUGGCCUUCUCCAAGCAUGACUCCAAAUCUUCCCAGAUUUGUACUGUCUGAGAGGAAGUACACACGGGGGAUAUAGACGUUGAAACAUAGAAGAUCUCCUCCUGUGUUAUUGGAGAUAAGUAAAAUCUGAAAAUUGUUGUUCUUCAUCCACUGCAGUUGUCGCACCCUGUACCCUUGCUCUAUAGGAAUAAAAGUGACCAAACCGCCGCUAGGUCGGCCACGGUUAUUUAGUUUUUUCGCAGGGGUAGCAAAAGCCGCAUAGCCCUGUAAGUAAGGGGGAUGAGAGUCUAGGCACCAGGUCUCUUGUAGACAAAUAAUCUGGAAUUUUGAGAGAAAAUCCAGAAAAUCAGCAGCGCCCUGCUUAGACAGCCAGCCCGCCACAUUCCACGAUAAGAUGUGAAAAUAUGGUGGUGAGGGGAACAAAGGUAGACUUCUCCGUUUGUUCUUUAGGAUGAUGGAAUGAAUGUUUUUGUAGAGGUGGAGUGAGCUGUUGGUAUCCUUUGUGGUAGGUACUAACCUAGUGAGUUUUGUUUCACUGGCGUGGUGUCCCCUCGCUGUAUCUGUCUUUCAAUCCUCCACCUGAAUGCCAUCUAAGGAUCCUGAGGCAUCCACAAAGAUUGAACCGUUCCUACUCAUCGGCAUGGCAAGGUCUACCUGGUGUGUUGUUGUUUGAGGUGUUAAGGGUUGUGUGGGAGAACCCACUUCUUCGGGGACAGGAACCGGCACUGCGUCCAGUCUUCGUUGGAUAAGGGCUUUGUUGUGUUAGUAGCAAAAUUAAAUUCCAAAGGAGCAGAAAAACCCUGGCGGACUAAGGAUUUUUUGGUUUGUAACCUAGCUAUUAACGCAUCCUGGGACUGUUGAAUUUGCUCAAGGGAGGCUAGAAAGAGCAUCUCCUUUUCAUUUAAGAUUUCUUUUUGGGUUCAUUGGAAGGGAGUAAUGUUUUUGGAGCUUAGCCUUCUGUUUGGAAAUUUUGACUGCCUCCGGUUGACCUUGUUUGCAGUUUUCAGAAGCCAUUUCCAAUUCUGUGCGCGGACUAGUCGGCUUACGUGUUCCUAAGAGGGAUGGUGGAACGCCGGACUCUUCAAAAAGGCGGGUCACCAACAGGCCAGCCCUCUGGAGCCUGUCCCUCUUGUCCAUGAUUUGUUUAGUUACCGACCAGUCCUUAAAGGUCACCACAACUCUGUUUUGGGCCAUAUCAAAAGGAAGAAAUUUAACGCUGACAAUAUUUCCUGCUGGUAUAAGGCUUCUGAUGACUAAGUCAAUUUUCUUAAGUAAAUAAAUUCUCUGUUGUGCAAGCGUGGAAAGGCCUCCAUGCUUGAAGAGAGGGAGGAGGACUAAUUUAUGUUUAAUUAAAAUUAAGUUCUGGCUCUUUUGUACUCCCUUCUGGGGAGUUUCUUGCUUUGGAUCUGGAGUUUCCUUUAAUUUUCCACUAGAGGGCAGCGAUUGUUUUGCUAGCCUUGGAGGGCUAGUCACCUGAUGUAUAUUUAAAAUGUUUGGGCUUUGGCUCUUAUUUGGCGUUGUUUUGUUGGAGUUCUUUGUGCUUGAGUUC